UAAGCCUUUCUCCCUCCAACAAUCAAAUCAAACCUGAUAAAACUCGUGGAGCCAAGCCAAAAGUUCACUGCUUGUUCAUGUAGGUCCUUGAUUGGGAAAUUAGAAAUGCUUUUUUCUUUCCUUCUCUAUUCUUCGAAGAACCUUAUAAUGUGAAACAGUUGUAGCGAGUGGUGAUUAUUUCUUUAUUUUAUUCACAAAAAUAAGCAAAUAAUGUCCAAAGUGAAGAUAGUGACAGCACAGAAUGAGCCCCAAGAGAGAAGAUGCUAAAGAUGAACAACCAGAAAUAACCGAAGGUGAUGUGGCUCGAUUUGAGACCUUUCAUGGACGUUUGGAUAAAAUUAAAACGAUCAAGUUUCUGCUUGCAAUGCAAAGGAGAUGUAUUGAUUACUGCUAACGUGUCUUCAUUUCAAUCAUAGACUUGUUAAUUCAAUUCUUUUCGGAGUUUGGAUCAUGCAUCUUCAAGUCCCACAUCAACCUAGACAUGGUGUGUCCCACAAGUGCACAUUAUUGAUUCUUUUCCUGUGAAAGUUCAUGCACUGAUUUCAUCAAGGACCACUCUUCAAUAUGAAUGUGUGCUUUCUAUCAUUAUGACCAUUAACUUUCAGCCUUUCAGUUAAAACUGCAUCCCAAUCUCUUCAUUAGAGACGAAGACAUAGCUUGAAAGUGAGACGAGAAGAAAACAGUAGAACAUGAACAUGCAAGCGGAACCAUAAGAGUGUUAAAAGGCAUACUUUUCUUUAAGAUACUACACCACCUUCCAAAUAACAUGGAGACUUCAGGGGCCGUUAGCUUCUUACAGGUAUGCAAUCUUACUUUCUGACACUAAUUGCUAUUUAUCGAGGAAACAGCAAAUUAGUAUUGAUGACAAUUGUGAAUUGAAAUAGAUCGGGCAAAUUCGUGGGGUGAGUUUAAAACAAUGCUUAAAUGCCGAAUGCAAAGAAAGAUCAAUCAGUUGCAAAACCCAUGUAAUUACAGACCCAUAUUACAGACUGAAACCUAAAACCUAUGUAAUUACAGACCCAUAUUAGUAUUCAACCAAGAAAACAUAUACACAGGCAAAACCCAAACCAAUCCCACUAAAUAAUUACAAUUCUAAAGUUGUAAGUGGCAGUCCAAAUGUAAACCCAGAAGAAAACACCUAAGAAUGUUUAGCACUACCCUUUAGCUAUCUCCCUACUGGCCUACUCUUCUUUUGCCUAAUGGAUAAACAGAUUCCAACAACACACAGAUACCACCCUACAGCUAAUCCUUGUUGACACAAUCGGUGUUACAGUCAACUGUAAUUUAAUACUACAGGAAACCUAAAGAGAACAAUGUUCAUGAAUCACCACCAGCCUCAGCGAAUGGAUGAUUAUGUUGUCGUACAAACUGCCCCUUCACCCGAGGCCGCUGCUCUGCCAGUCUUUUCCGGCUUUGAUAUCGAACCUAUACAAGAAAUUAGAGUACUUGUUAAUAAGAUCUUUAGUGAAACAUGCUAUAGGAGUUUCCAAGCCAACUGCAAUCAUAGAUAUAAAUUCACCAUAAAUAAUCUUAAAGUAGCCUUUUACUAAGUGCUGUUUAUGAUACCUUUUUCUCGAAGCAUCUCUCUUUCCGCUUCAGUCGAAACUUCACUAGUGCUGCUUCUCUUUGACUGGAGCGAUGAGAAUCUGUCACUCUAAAUCCAUCAUAAUUAUGACAACCACUAUCACUGAAACCAUCUGAGGUGUUCUUGGAUACUAUAGCUGAAGUAGCAUGUCCAUCAUUUCCACUGUCCAUGCUUCCAUAUGCACUACUAUUAACAUGAUUUGCAGCAUCAUGGCAUAAAUUAUUACCAGCACUCUGAUCAGCAGCAGGAGACUCAUGCCUUGCGUGAUCUGAAUCAGUAUUAUCCUUUACAUUUUGAUCAAGACAAGUAGCAUCAUUGGAACAGUCAUGAGGUUGAUCUGAGCAGUGACUUUCAGGAUUGGACUGGGAGGAGGUACUUGUGGGAAAGGGAGAACUCUCAUUCUGGCAGACUGGUUUUGGACUCAACAUGGGGUGAAUGCCAGAUUGUGCAUAGAAAACAGAAGUAAAAACAUGACCAUGUCCCUCAGACUUAAGCUUGGAGAUAACUCCUGAAACAGGUAAGAGUCCAUACUGACCAAUGACUGUACUGAUCAUAUUCUCCAGGUUCUGAUUUGAGUCGUCAUACUGACAAUUUCCAGAUAAUUUAAGGCAUUCAUGAGAAUCCCAAUUGAGCCAGUUUACUUUAGGAGAUGUAAUCGAUGGUGGUGAAAAAAGAGGCUGCAACAAUUUACUAUUACUGUACCUGCAUAUAGAAAUUAUUACCCAUCGUCAGAAAAUCUGUGUAAUCACAAUGAUGUUGAGUUUUUGAAUGGGUCAAUAGGAAAAAAAAAUACUUUAGAAUGAAAUACUGGAUAGUGAUUUCUCAUCAUCCAAGGAUGAAAGCUUAAACAUGGCCUUUAUUUUUGGGUGGUAGGGAGAGGGGGAACCAUAAGAGUGCAGAAAUUUAAUGUUUAAAUAAAAAAAGGGCCAAACCAGUGUAUAGUUUUACAUAGAGAUGAUUUGAUCCAUAAACUUAAAGGAAACAGUCCCAAAUGGUUAUUAACAAAGUCUCUUUGAAGAAUUCUUCUUAUUGUUGAUAACUGUGCACAAAAACACCCAUGUAUCUGUGGUCUUCAAUAUUUUAGAUUUUAGAAGCAUAACUAUAUUUACCAUUAUUAGGAUUAUUGGAUCCUUCCAUAGAUUAUAGGCUCUGAAAAAUAUGUUUCAGUACAAAUCACCAUUUAUUCAGCUUUCAUCAAUACUAAUCCUACAUAUAGAACAACAUAAACAAGACUGACGAAAGACAUGAAAAGCACAUGUUAAAAUUCAAAUAACAAAAUUCCAUGAAGAACUUCCUUCUGCUGACUAAAAUUUGUUUCUUUGAUGGUCAGAGGAAAUAUUGUAUGGCAUCUGGUUUUGGUAGAUAUCAUUUUAAGAACUAAAGAAGUCAAGAAAGCACUGAACUCACCAAGAAAAGGCAGAAGUAUUUGAAUGGUUCAAUCUUUGAGAUUCCUCAGUUGAUUCACUUGCUUGUUUACCUGAGCUGCCAGGAAAAUCACUUCUUAAGGAAAGUUCCAAUUGCGUUUCACAAUCAAACUUGGUUGUAUUACCACCAUUGAGACUACAGUUUUCAUUAGGGUGCUUUGGAAGAUUUCCAAAUGUGGCAAUCAAGUCAAUAGCUCCUUUAGAAGGUUUCACCUGCUCAGCAUUGCAUCCAUGCAAUAUAGAAACAUGAGAAUUGUCUCUGCCUAACUCAGAUUUUAAGAUUUCAUCCUCGUUUUCAGUUUCAGGUUCAGCAACACCACAGUCUUGUUCUAGCAUUAAAUCUGUCAAUUCAAAACUUUUGUCACACCUUGCAGCCUCUGAUACAAUUGUAAUUGAUUUAUCUGCAUUAAAUGUUUUUAAUAGACGACAAAACAGUCAGCACAUUGAAACAAGAUAAAAACAAAUUCUAAUCAAAGUGUAAAACAAAAUUCGCCUACCCUCUGUUUCAUCAUUAUGCUUAGCUGAUUUCCUUUCAAAUUUGGCAAACUUUUCAUGGUCCACCAUAUCAAUUUUGUUCAG
rnacentral:lncRNA from 1 species